rnacentral:rRNA from 1 species
GAUGAACGCUGGCGGCGUGCCUAAUACAUGCAAGUCGAGCGAACAGAUAAGGAGCUUGCUCCUUUGACGUCAGCGGCGGACGGGUGAGUAACACGUGGAUAACCUACCUAUAAGACUGGGAUAACUUCGGGAAACCGGAGCUAAUACCGGAUAACAUAUUGAACCGCAUGGUUCAAUAGUGAAAGGCGGCUUUGCUGUCACUUAUAGAUGGAUCCGCGCCGUAUUAGCUAGUUGGCAAGGUAACGGCUUACCAAGGCAACGAUACGUAGCCGACCUGAGAGGGUGAUCGGCCACACUGGAACUGAGACACGGUCCAGACUCCUACGGGAGGCAGCAAUAGGGAAUCUUCCGCAAUGGGCGAAAGCCUGACGGAGCAACGCCGCGUGAGUGAUGAAGGUCUUCGGAUCGUAAAACUCUGUUAUCAGGGAAGAACAAAUGUGUAAGUAACUGUGCACAUCUUGAUGGUACCUGAUCAGAAAGCCACGGCUAACUACGUG